AUAAAGUUUAUUUUAGUAUUAACACACUCCCCUGGAACACACAUGUUACUAUUUUAAUUGUAAACAAUCAUAAGCAGUGAACAUAAAAAAAGAAAACUCCCAACUUCAAGCCCUCAUUUUUUUUCCAUAUUCUUUCGGGGCCUUCGAUGGAAAUAAAAUUCUUGUAUUAUGGUUCAUAAACAUAAUCUUUGUGAAAUUUGGCAAAAGAGUAGUUAUUUUACGAAUUCAAUAUUAAAUACCUAUCUGGCAUCUGUUGUCACGUAAGUUGUAGAAUUUUUUCGAUAUUCUGCUAGAAUUUUCUAUGGUUCUGAUCAUGCUAGGAUCAACAACGAAAAUUUGCUCGAACCUUCAUACAGUUUUUCUAAACCGAAACUAUCUGAUUUGGUUAGUGCAAAAUUACGAAUCUAUAACAGAAAAUGAAAGUGGAUCCGUCAAAAAUUUCGUCAAAUUCACAUCAAUUAGAAGUUAAAAUACCUACCUAUAAGUAGCAGAGAUAGAGAGAUGUCGAAGGAGCCGAGGGGGGUGUUCCCUGGGUCGACAGAAAUAGAACAUACUUGAAGGGUCGAAAUGAGGAUGGCACACCUUAAAUUUUUCUAACGGGGGUGUGCAAUUUUGCAUUAUCAAAUAAAAUAAAUGCAAAAUGAACAAAAAACGUCGACCCUGAAUCAAGUGCAACGAUCUCAAGAGCAAAUAAGACAGCUGCAAUCUACGAUAUGAAAAAUUCUCCAAGGUGAUCGAUAAUUUGAGAACGCGAUAUUUUGAGAUUCUGAGGAGGCUGGCGGUAAGAUCUCGGAUAUGGUUCAGACGUUGGAAUGCAAGUAGAACUUUGUUCUUCAAUACCCUCCUCUACCUGUCGAACUCUUUUUCUGUACCUAAAGAAAUAAAUCUGAA